GCAAGUUUAGUUAAAAACGUCAACUGUCUUUUUAUGUGAGGAACUCAAAGCCCCCGAGAUCAUUGAAACCUACUAUCGAUUUUUGUAAUAUUUAUUAAAUAUCUAAUCUUUUAACUUAAUAUUGUAAUGAAUACGUUUUCUUAAUUCUAUUUUUUCUAAUAAUUGUUCUGACUUUUAUAAGGCGAUUUUUGUUGUUACUUCUGCUUACGUGUUAACCGUUGUAGUUUUUAAAUAAAACGUUACUAUUAUAAGUAGUCUUAUUUAAUCGUGUCUUAAUUUAAGAUGAUUAACAUUCGUCAUCUGAAUCUGUUAAGUAUGUUAAUGUUUUAUUAAUACCUCAGGUUUACACCCGUUGACUACAUUUUAGCACAAUGGCCACGCUAAUUAAAAAAGGCGAAUACAAUAAAUGGUAUUUUAGUUUCCAUAGUUACAGAAUCUUGUCAAUUACAUUUGUGUCAAGUUAUGGCAACAAGAAUAUGUUUAAAAAUUCCAUACUUAUAUUUUUAUUUGAAAGUGUUUUUCCCCUUGGCAUUUUGAUACAGAAUUAUUAACCAAGUGUCCUAGGUAUCUGGGGAUUUAAGCAACAUUUCAAAUGGAGAAAAAAUCGGCGAAAUAUUUUAUCGUCAACAGUUUGGAAACAAAAACUGAUGAAGACAGAAAAUCCAGACCUAUGCCACCAGAUGGAUACAAAGUGGGAAAGCGGAUUCUCCGUAGAACUGAACUGCGAGAGAGACGGCGCGCAGCUGCAGGUAGCUUUGCAGCGCAAACAUCUUUGCCAAGCUAUAAGAGAGCACCUGCAAAGAAAACUCAGAGGAAAAGAUGCAAAACACUUACUCCUAAAUCAAAACGGCAGAAGUCCAACACUGCACUUGAAUGGGAUGAAAGAGUACUGAAGAGUAUUUGGGGAAGGGAGGGGAAAUCAGGCCCCUUCCCCUGCAUAUUUUUGCCAGUAGCAGAGGAUGAGUUUCUAGAGGACAUGCUAGCAGACAAUCCUCGUUAUAAAAGUACCUCUCAACAGAAGCCCAUGGAGUACUGGGAGAAAGCUGCUGCAGAUUUACCGGUUUACCAAGGACCCUGGAAACCAAGCAGAUCCCAGAAUCCUCCACUGUGGUGAACAAGUUUACAGCCCUUGUCUGUAGCUAUUGAAGUCCUUUACGUCUGAAGGAAAAUAAAUGACUGAAAAUCAUAUUCAGUUAAUUACUUCAUUUUUUUUCAUCUAACCUGGUUCCUAAACGUCCAGACGUUCUAAAUGUGUUAUUUGACUUAAUUACAUUAAUUGGCAGAAAUAUUUUUUUAAUUGUCCUAAAAUGAUAUUGUCUCAUAAUUACUGUUUUUUAGGUAAGGCUAAACCAUUUAAUUUUUGGUAAACAAAGGAUUUCCACUAAUAAAACAUUUUUUCUAAAAAUAUGAUAAU
rnacentral:lncRNA from 1 species